ensembl:lncRNA
UGCUACAUCCGUCCUGCGACGGUACACCGCCUCCGCACCACCGUUUAAACAUGAAGUGUGGAUGUUAGAAGAUCCCAAAUAUGAAGACGACCAAUCUGCACAUCGAGAAGCUGUCCUGUCUUCAGCUAGGAGUCCUUCUCCAGCUGCUGCACAUGCUAACAGGCAAAACAUCAGGGAGUAAUACAAGCUUUUAAUGCUUAUGUGAACCACAGGCGUGCUUAUAAUGUAUCAACCUGCAGUGAGACUGUAAAAGCAAAAUCUUUCUUGAUUUAAUUUUCAUUGCACAAAUAAUAACAGAUUCAGGAAUGUAUUCAAGGAAGAGACUGGCAAAGAAAGAGUGGGAUAGUCAGGGAGCUGAAGGAAGGAGUACUAAAAGGCUAGGUGCACAGCAAAGAGAGAGGUGUCACUGGCACAGGAAAAGGCUUGUAGUGAGUUGUAUGUGAGGCUGGACACUAAGGAGAAAAUGAUUUUUAAUGAAUGCCAAGGCACAUAAAUUGUCCUGGAAGAGAGUAACCAAGUAUAGAGAUGGAAAUGUGCUAAUGUGAAGAAUGUGUGUUGAGAAGAGAGAAGGAGUACUUUGGAUGAAAAUUGAAUUAGAGAAGGAAGCGAGGCAACUCUGAAGAGGAUGGAGACGGGAGGCAUAGAGAGGGUAGGAGUGAAGGCUAUGAUAAGGUGCGAAGAGAGUAACUGUGGUGCUGGAUUUGUGGAUGUAGUGAAGGUGGACAUGCAGGGGGUUGGUGUGACUGAGGAGGAUGCUAGAAAUAGAGAGAUGGAGGCGGAUGAUCCACUGUAGCGACCUCUAAAGGGAGCAGCCGAAAGAAGAAGAAGCACAAAUAAUUCUAAUCAUGCUUUUCUUUUAUUCUCAGUACUAAGCUAUGUAAAGGAAGUCAAGGUUGUUUCCUCCUACAAUCACUUUGUAGAUGGUUUAGACUUGUUUAGAUUGGUGCUCUGUCUCCCUUUAUCCAAACUAAAACUUUGAUGGGUUUUUUUUAUCUUCACUAAACAUUUUUUUGCUUUGUGUUUAUUAUUGUGCUACUGCAAGUAUUUCAUAUAUUAGUCAGUUGAUUGUUACUGUAGGGCAGCUCUAGGACAAUCCCUGAUGUGAUGUAGCUUGCUUUUAUCCAGCAGAUACGACAUCUCAUGAGGAGGUUCGAACCCUGUACCCUGACCUUCCCACUGACGCACAAAGUCUGCACAUCCAGAAGCAGGCCCUUCUACGUGAACAACAGCACAACAGUUUCUAUUUCUUUUAAUAUUAGAAGUCAGUUAUUCAUUAAUGAAUACAAAUGGUGACUGAAGUUAUUUAGACAGGACAUUAAACAAUAA